GACUUAACGUUAUAUUCCAUGCUGCCUCCACCGUUGAUAAAAUGUCGCGGUAGGGAUACCCGUUACCGGAUACCCCCCGCACAGAUCCCGGCGUGCGCGAUUUACGCACCGGGCUCCUGCCUCGGGUGUCUGGCGGUGAACCGCUCCACAGGCCAUGGAUGAAGANUCAUCUUCGGGGGUAGAGCACUGUUUCGGCUAGGGGGUCAUCCCGACUUACCAACCCGAUGCAAACUACGAAUACCGAAGAAUGUUAUCACGGGAGACACACGGCGGGUGCUAACGUCCGUCGUGAAGAGGGAAACAACCCAGACCGCCAGCUAAGGUCCCAAAGUCAUGGUUAAGUGGGAAACGAUGUGGGAAGGCCCAGACAGCCAGGAUGUUGGCUUAGAAGCAGCCAUCAUUUAAAGAAAGCGUAAUAGCUCACUGGUCGAGUCGGCCUGCGCGGAAGAUGUAACGGGGCUAAACCAUGCACCGAAGCUGCGGCAGCGACACUAUGUGUUGUUGGGUAGGGGAGCGUUCUGUAAGCCGUUGAAGGUGGCCUGUGAGGGUUGCUGGAGGUAUCAGAAGUGCGAAUGCUGACAUAAGUAACGAUAAUGCGGGUGAAAAACCCGCACGCCGGAAGACCAAGGGUUCCUGUCCAACGUUAAUCGGGGCAGGGUGAGUCGACCCCUAAGGCGAGGCCGAAAGGCGUAGUCGAUGGGAAACAGGUUAAUAUUCCUGUACUCGGUGUUACUGCGAAGGGGGGACGGAGAAGGCUAUGUUGGCCGGGCGACGGUUGUCCCGGUUUAAGCAUGUAGGCGGAUGUUCCAGGUAAAUCCGGAACGUUAUCAACGCUGAGGUGUGAUGACGAGGCACUACGGUGCUGAAGUGACAAAUGCCCUGCUUCCAGGAAAAGCCUCUAAGCAUCAGGUAACAUCAAAUCGUACCCCAAACCGACACAGGUGGUCAGGUAGAGAAUACCAAGGCGCUUGAGAGAACUCGGGUGAAGGAACUAGGCAAAAUGGUGCCGUAACUUCGGGAGAAGGCACGCUGAUAGGUAGGUGAAGUGGUUUACCCAUGGAGCUGAAAUCAGUCGAAGAUACCAGCUGGCUGCAACUGUUUAUUAAAAACACAGCACUGUGCAAACACGAAAGUGGACGUAUACGGUGUGACGCCUGCCCGGUGCCGGAAGGUUAAUUGAUGGGGUUAUCCGUAAGGAGAAGCUCUUGAUCGAAGCCCCGGUAAACGGCGGCCGUAACUAUAACGGUCCUAAGGUAGCGAAAUUCCUUGUCGGGUAAGUUCCGACCUGCACGAAUGGCGUAAUGAUGGCCAGGCUGUCUCCACCCGAGACUCAGUGAAAUUGAACUCGCUGUGAAGAUGCAGUGUACCCGCGGCAAGACGGAAAGACCCCGUGAACCUUUACUAUAGCUUGACACUGAACACUGGUCCUUGAUGUGUAGGAUAGGUGGGAGGCUUUGAAGCGUGGACGCCAGUCUGCGUGGAGCCAUCCUUGAAAUACCACCCUUUAAUGGCUGGUGUUCUAACGUGGGCCCGUUAUCCGGGUUGCGGACAGUGUCUGGUGGGUAGUUUGACUGGGGCGGUCUCCUCCUAAAGAGUAACGGAGGAGCACGAAGGUCAGCUAAUCCUGGUCGGACAUCAGGAGGUUAGUGCAAUGGCAUAAGCUGGCUUGACUGCGAGCGUGACGGCGCGAGCAGGUGCGAAAGCAGGUCAUAGUGAUCCGGUGGUUCUGAAUGGAAGGGCCAUCGCUCAACGGAUAAAAGGUACUCCGGGGAUAACAGGCUGAUACCGCCCAAGAGUUCAUAUCGACGGCGGUGUUUGGCACCUCGAUGUCGGCUCAUCACAUCCUGGGGCUGAAGUAGGUCCCAAGGGUAUGGCUGUUCGCCAUUUAAAGUGGUACGCGAGCUGGGUUUAGAACGUCGUGAGACAGUUCGGUCCCUAUCUGCCGUGGGCGCUGGAGAAUUGAGGGGGGCUGCUCCUAGUACGAGAGGACCGGAGUGGACGCAUCACUGGUGUUCGGGUUGUCAUGCCAAUGGCAUUGCCCGGUAGCUAAAUGCGGAAGAGAUAAGUGCUGAAAGCAUCUAAGCACGAAACUUGCCCCGAGAUGAGUUCUCCCUGACUCCUUGAGAGUCCUGAAGGAACGUUGAAGACGACGACGUUGAUAGGCCGGGUGUGUAAGCGCAGCGAUGCGUUGAGCUAACCGGUACUAAUGAACCGUGAGGCUUAACCUU
rnacentral:rRNA from 1 species